rnacentral:rRNA from 1 species
GAUGAACGCUGGCGGCGUGCCUAAUACAUGCAAGUCGAGCGAACGGACGAGAAGCUUGCUUCUCUGAUGUUAGCGGCGGACGGGUGAGUAACACGUGGAUAACCUACCUAUAAGACUGGGAUAACUUCGGAAAACCGGAGCUAAUACCGGAUAAUAUUUUGAACCGCAUGGUUCAAAAGUGAAAGACGGUCUUGCUGUCACUUAUAGAUGGAUCCGCGCUGCAUUAGCUAGUUGGUAAGGUAACGGCUUACCAAGGCAACGAUGCGUAGCCGACCUGAGAGGGUGAUCGGCCACACUGGAACUGAGACACGGUCCAGACUCCUACGGGAGGCAGCAGUAGGGAAUCUUCCGCAAUGGGCGAAAGCCUGACGGAGCAACGCCGCGUGAGUGAUGAAGGUCUUCGGAUCGUAAAACUCUGUUAUUAGGGAAGAACAUAUGUGUAAGUAACUGUGCACAUCUUGACGGUACCUAAUCAGAAAGCCACGGCUAACUACGUG